AAGUCGUAACAAGGUUUCCGUAGGUGAACCUGCGGAAGGAUCAUUAUUGAAUAAACUUGGUAUAGGUUGUUGCUGGCCUCUAGUUUAAGGGGCAAUGUGCACACCUUUCCUUUGUUUCUUUCUUUUCAUCACCUGUGCACAUUUUGUAGACUCGGAUAAUCUUUCGAGGCGACUCGGUUUGGGAGGCUGUUCAUCAGUCUUGUGGUGGCUGCCUCUGUAUUUUUCCAGUCUAUGUUCUUCAUAUACACCAUUGUAUGUUAUAGAAUGUAUUGAUUUGGGCCUUUGAAAAAAGCCUAUAAAUUCUAUACAACUUUCAACAACGGAUCUCUUGGCUCUC
rnacentral:misc_RNA from 1 species